rnacentral:rRNA from 1 species
UACGAAGGGGACUAGCGUUGUUCGGAAUUACUGGGCGUAAAGCGCACGUAGGCGGACGUGUCAGUCAGAGGUGAAAUCCCGGAGCUCAACUUCGGAACUGCCUUUGAUACAGCAUGUCUUGAGUCCGAUAGAGGUGAGUGGAAUUCCUAGUGUAGAGGUGAAAUUCGUAGAUAUUAGGAAGAACACCAGUGGCGAAGGCGGCUCACUGGAUCGGUACUGACGCUGAGGUGCGAAAGCGUGGGGAGCAAACAGG